UAUCUCUGUAGAGUCUGCAUAUCAAUAAGCGGAGGAAAAGAAACUAACAAGGAUUCCCCUAGUAACGGCGAGUGAAGCGGGAAGAGCUCAAAUUUGAAAUCUUAAAGGGUUUCCCUUUACGAAUUGUAGUUUAAAGAAGUGUUUUCUGUUGAGGUUUUGGUAAAAGUUCUUUGGAAUAGGACAUCAUAGAGGGUGAGAAUCCCGUAUUUGACCUUUACUUUCAACUUUGUGAUACACUUUCAAAGAGUCGGAUUGUUUGGGAAUGCAGUCCAAAAUGGGUGGUAAAUUUCAUCUAAAGCUAAAUAUUGGCGAGAGACCGAUAGCGAACAAGUACCGUGAGGGAAAGAUGAAAAGAACUUUGAAAAGAGAGUUAAACAGUACGUGAAAUUGUCAAAAGGGAAGCGUUUGACACCAGUGUUGUUUUUCUGAAAAUCAAUUAAAGAACUGUUUAUGCUAAGCUUGUUUAGACUUUAUCAGCUAUACUGUUUAGUUUUGAGCUUUUCUUUAAUGCACUUUUCAGUUAACAAGUCAACAUCAAUUUCUUUUGCUGUAAAAAAGCUUGAGGAAGGUGGCUUGAGAUUCGUCUUAAGUGUUUAUAGCCUCUUGCCUAUGCAGUCGGAGAGAUUGAGGUCUGCAGCGUAGAUCCUUCGGGGCUAAAUGCAUUUGUGCUAAGUUAUAGCAUUUUAUAGACAACUUGUUGACUAUGAUUUGUCUUGUAGCUUACUCGCUUAUGUUAUUUUACCUACGCUUAGGAUGUUGACGAUCAGCUGAGCGC
rnacentral:rRNA from 1 species